GUAGUCCACGCCGUAAACGAUGGGCGCUAGGUGUGGGGGGUGUCGACUCCCUCCGUGCCGAAGCUAACGCAUUAAGCGCCCCGCCUGGGGAGUACGGCCGCAAGGCUAAAACUCAAAGGAAUUGACGGGGACCCGCACAAGCAGCGGAGCAUGUGGUUUAAUUCGACGCAACGCGAAGAACCUUACCUGGGCUUGACAUGCACAGGAAUGUCGUGGAAACACGGCAGCCCUUCGGGGCCUGUGCACAGGUGGUGCAUGGCUGUCGUCAGCUCGUGUCGUGAGAUGUUGGGUUAAGUCCCGCAACGAGCGCAACCCUUGUCCCUAGUUGCCAGCACGUAAUGGUGGGAACUCUAGGGAGACCGCCGGUGACAAACCGGA
rnacentral:rRNA from 1 species